rnacentral:rRNA from 1 species
GAUGAACGCUAGCGGCAGGCUUAACACAUGCAAGUCGAGGGGUAUAGUAGCAAUACUAGAGACCGGCGCACGGGUGCGUAACGCGUAUGCAAUCUACCUUUUACAGAGGGAUAGCCCAGAGAAAUUUGGAUUAAUACCUCAUAGUAUAUUUGAGUGGCAUCACUUGAUUAUUAAAGUUCCAACGGUAAAAGAUGAGCAUGCGUCCCAUUAGCUAGAUGGUAAGGUAACGGCUUACCAUGGCUACGAUGGGUAGGGGUCCUGAGAGGGAGAUCCCCCACACUGGUACUGAGACACGGACCAGACUCCUACGGGAGGCAGCAGUGAGGAAUAUUGGACAAUGGGCGCAAGCCUGAUCCAGCCAUCGCCGCGUGCAAGGAAGAAGCAUCUAUGGUGUGUAAACUGCUUUUUAACGGGAAGAAACCCUGCCACGUGUGCAGAUUGACGGUACCGUAAGAAUAAGGACCGCUAACUCCGUGCCAGC